CUUUAUGAAUUACAAUUUUUUAAGUCUCUAGUCCUGUGGUCUUUGCACACUAUGCAACACUGACCCUUAUUGAGAGUGAAUGAACAAGUCAACAGUGGGUAACCAGACCUUAUCAAGUAAACUAGAUGAUUAUAGUAAAGAUAUCAGUAAUAUCAGGGUGAAAUGGUUUAGUGUCAUAGAUUUAUUGAAUGAUUGUGACAAAUAGUAAAAGCGUGUAGUAAAUACGGCUAAUAUGAAUGGUUAUACUUAACAUUGAACAAAAAUGCAAUUUAUAGAGAAACAUGCUGUGCAUAUUGUAGCUUAUGAUAUGCAGGAUGAAGAUAGUGAUCUUACUUCCUAAACAUUCUUAUUUACAAUUCAAACUAGUAUUAUAAAACUGAAGAUUUUAUUUGAAUGUACUAAUCUCGGGAAGUAUUGGACCAAUUUGAAAAAGUGUUUCACUGUUAGAUAGCCCAUUUAUGGAGAAAGGCUGUAGACUAAUUUCUAUCUAGGUACUUAUAGACGUCCCCAUGAGACGAGAGUGAAACUGCUGGUGGAAGCUAGUAGUGAAUAAAAGAAAUACUUUAUACAUUUUUUAAGCAUCAACAAAGUCAAAUUUAUGUACAGAAAUUUAAUCAACACAAAACCAGUGUUAUUAAAAUUGGGGAUUCCCAAGUAUCACAUAAACAGUUGAGGAAAAUAAACAGAGAACAGCCAUGUUAUUGCACAAGAAUAUUAACAAGCCAAGUUCUUUAACAUGCUAUAUUAUUGGCAUAUUCUUAUCUGGGUUAGUUUGGAGUACAAGCAGAAAUGCUGAUGUUAAAACAUUGUGCAAUUCGCCCUGUAAAUUCAGUAAUCAUGAUGCAAUAGUCCCACUAUAUUUAUUUCCGUUGCUAUCAAGUUAGUGGCAUUGUUUAUUCCAAAAUGGCACUACAAGGCUUGUUCCGUACCUCUAUUCUUUUAAGUUUAAAAAAUUCUGUGAUAUUUUUGUUUAUUUAGAGCCAGUGAAAAUGUUUUAGUGGUGUUUGUUUGCGAUUUUAAAUUGUUUGAAUAUUUGCGCGUGUGUUUUACGGAAAGAAUGGCAGUAAAAAAGAGCAGAUUCAAGACAAAACAACGGACUCAAGAAACAUUUACUCGAGUAAACAAAUUGAAAGCUGAAAACCAAAUGUUGGAAGAGAAAGUGAAAACACUGACGAAGGAAUUGCAGUUUCUUAAAGAACUAUUCUUAGCUCAUGCAUCAAACACACCCAACGCUAAGUUUGAAGGGAUCGACCUUGACAAACUGUUAGAGGACAUACCUGAAGAUAAAAAAUAGGUAGUGGUUUAUCAAUAGUACUACAGACUUGCCGUAAAUAGUGUUAGUGGGAGGAGUGAUCACAGGACAGACAAAUGAAUUGUUCCGUGGCUCAAUUAGAUGAAAAUUAAAGCUAUUAUGUACUGGCACCUAAGAAUAAAAUACAAAUUGUUCUUCAAUACAAUAACACAGCUGUUAUGAGUCAGGUUGCAAGUGCGUAGUAGCGCCAAAACCACAUAUUUGUAUACUAUGUAUACUAAGAUAUAUAGAUAAGAUAUUAUACCUUAUGGUAUAUAAAAAAAAAUUAAGGAAGGUCUAUAGAUUAUUUGGCAUUUAUUGUUAUAAUAUAAUUUUGUUAUCUGUUAUCUUAAAUUUUAGGCGUCGGAUAACAGUGUUUUUAUUUUUAUAAGUACAUUGCUAUCAGAUCUAUACAUUAUUGAUCAACUCGGUUUUUGAAAGUAUUAAAAAUAAAUAUUUUUGAUACUUUGCACAAACUGUAAUACACUACAUGCUCGCUUGUGUGCAUUUUUAAACUAGAGAUGCCUGUUGAUGCAGAUGUCCAUAGUGAAGUAAUAUGAUGUUGAACACCAAUACUGGACACAAUAAAUUUUUGAAUAAAAAAAUAUGAACUAAGUUACUGUUUGACAGUAGUUAUCGCUAGAAUUCUAAAUCUAUAGUUUGGCUUAUAAGCUACCAAAGCACAAUGCAGCUGAGAUGGUUUUAAUCAACCAAUAGAAUUACUACUGGUUUUCUUUCGGUUGUUUAAAAACUUCCACAUCUCUGGUGGAGCCAUGGCUUAAGUGCACCUUAAACCUAUAUCAUGUAAUGUAGGCAUCUAAAAUAGACAACACUAAAGUUCCUUAGUUAGUACAAAAAGGCAAUAUUUUACACUCUACUACCUAUAACUAUAAUUAUGUAUUAAAAUCAUUCUGUACAAAAUUUAAAAUGUGAUGUAACAUUAAUAAGAAAAAUAA
rnacentral:lncRNA from 1 species